rnacentral:rRNA from 1 species
CCUACGGGUGGCAGCAGUAGGGAAUCUUCCACAAUGGGCGAAAGCCUGAUGGAGCAACGCCGCGUGGGUGAAGAAGGUCUUCGGAUCGUAAAACCCUUUUGUUAGAGAAGAAAGUGCGUGAGAGUAACUGUUCACGUUUCGACGUUAUCUAACCAGAAAGCAACGGCUAACUACGUGCCAGCAGCCGCGGUAAUACGUAGGUGGCAAGCGUUAUCCGGAUUAAUUGGGCGUAAAGGGAACGCAGGCGGUCUUUUAAGUCUGAUGUGAAAGCCUUGGGCUUAACCUGAGUAGUGCAUUGGAUACUGGGAGACUUGAGUGCAGAAGAGGAGAGUGGAACUCCACGUGUAGCGGUGAAAUGCGUAGAUAUAUGGAAGAAUACCAGAGGCGAAGGCGGCUCUCUGGUCUGGAACUGACGCUGAGGUUCGAAAGCGUGGGUAGCAAACAGGAUUAGAUACCCCUGUAGUC